rnacentral:misc_RNA from 1 species
UUGUGGAGGAGGACGCCGAAGGUGGGGCUAAUGACUGGGGUGAAGUCGUAACAAGGUAGCCGUACCGGAAGGUGCGGCUGGAUCACCUCCUAACAGGGAGACAACAAAAUGUUUAAUAUUAUUAUUUUGUCACCUUAGGUCGAUCGGUAUCUCAUGUUCUUAAUUUACCAAGAAUUUCAUUUCCUAAGUUUUUCUAGGUCACACCCAUUAUUUUCCUGGGCCAUUAGCUCAGGUGGUUAGAGCGCACCCCUGAUAAGGGUGAGGUCCCUGGUUCGAGUCCAGGAUGGCCCAUAUCUCUAUGUUGGGGGUAUAGCUCAGUUGGUAGAGCGCCUGCUUUGCAAGCAGGAUGUCAGCGGUUCGAGUCCGCUUACCUCCACUGAUUACCACCUCUUCCAUAAUCUGUAGAAAGGAAAAUUCUUGAGUUUUGACCAUUUUUCUGAACGAAUCUAGCUUCCUAAUGAAACCAUUAAGAUGCUGGACUCAUUGAAUUAAUUUCAUUGUUUUCAGAGAACCUUGACAACUGCAUAGAUUAUUUUUAAAGACAAUAAGCAUCUUUAAAUGAUGCAGAUUUAUUAUUUGUGCAAAUGCAUUAAUAACAAUUCUAUUAAGCUGAUGCUUCAAUUAUGAAGUUAUUGGUCAAGCUACAA